rnacentral:rRNA from 1 species
UGGGGAAUAUUGCACAAUGGGCGAAAGCCUGAUGCAGCAACGCCGCGUGAAGGAAGAAGGUUUUCGGAUCGUAAACUUCUAUCGACGGGGACGAAUAAAUGACGGUACCCGAGUAAGAAGCCCCGGCUAACUACGUGCCAGCAGCCGCGGUAAUACGUAGGGGGCAAGCGUUAUCCGGAAUCACUGGGUGUAAAGGGUGAGUAGGCGGUCAGACAAGUCAUAUGUGAAACCCCAAGGCUUAACCUAGGGCGUGCAUAAGAAACUGUCGGACUAGAGUACAGGAGAGGUAAGUGGAAUUCUUAGUGUAGCGGUGAAAUGCGUAGAUAUUAAGAAGAACACCAGUGGCGAAGGCGGCUUACUGGACUGAAACUGACGCUGAGUCACGAAAGCGUGGGGAGCAAACA